rnacentral:rRNA from 1 species
AGUGAACGCUGGCGGCAGGCCUAAUACAUGCAAGUCGAACGGCAGCACAGUGGAGCUUGCUCCAUGGGUGGCGAGUGGCGGACGGGUGAGGAAUACAUGGGAAUCUGCCCAGUCGUGGGGGAUAACGUAGGGAAACUUACGCUAAUACCGCAUGCGCCCUUCGGGGGAAAGCCGGGGACCUUCGGGCCUGGCGCGAUUGGAUGAGCCCAUGUUCGAUUAGCUAGUUGGCGGGGUAAAGGCCCACCAAGGCGACGAUCGAUAGCUGGUCUGAGAGGAUGAUCAGACACACUGGGACUGAGACACGGCCCAGACUCCUACGGGAGGCAGCAGUAGGGAAUAUUGGACAAUGGGCGCAAGCCUGAUCCAGCCAUGCCGCGUGAGUGAAGAAGGCCCUCGGGUUGUAAAGCUCUUUUGUCCGGGAAGAAAAGCAUCGGGCUAAUACCUCGGUGUUCUGACGGUACCGGAAGAAUAAGCACCGGCUAACUUCGUG